AUUGAACGCUGGCGGCAGGCCUAACACAUGCAAGUCGAGCGAGUGGCGGACGGGUGAGUAAUGUCUGGGAAACUGCCUGAUGGAGGGGGAUAACUACUGGAAACGGUAGCUAAUACCGCAUACCAUCAGAUGUGCCCAGAUGGGAUUAGCUUGUUGGUGGGGUAACGGCUCACCAAGGCGACGAUCCCUAGCUGGUCUGAGAGGAUGACCAGCCACACUGGAACUGAGACACGGUCCAGACUCCUACGGGAGGCAGCAGUGGGGAAUAUUGCGCAAUGGGCGAAAGCCUGAUCCAGCCAUGCCGCGUGUAUGAAGAAGGUCUUCGGAUUGUAAAGUACUUUCGGCAGGGAGGCGUUACCUACACAGGAAGCACCGGCUAACUCCGUGCCAGCAGCCGCGGUAAUAC
rnacentral:rRNA from 1 species